AAUGAACGCUGGCGGCAUGCCUAACACAUGCAAGUCGAACGAGACCUUCGGGUCUAGUGGCGCACGGGUGCGUAACGCGUGGGAAUCUGCCCUUGGGUUCGGAAUAACAGUUAGAAAUGACUGCUAAUACCGGAUGAUGUCGUAAGACCAAAGAUUUAUCGCCCAAGGAUGAGCCCGCGUUGGAUUAGCUAGUUGGUGAGGUAAAAGCUCACCAAGGCGACGAUCCUUAGCUGGUCUGAGAGGAUGAUCAGCCACACUGGGACUGAGACACGGCCCAGACUCCUACGGGAGGCAGCAGUGGGGAAUAUUGGACUAUGGGCGAAAGCCUGAUCCAGCAAUGCCGCGUGAGUGAUGAAGGCCUUAGGGUUGUAAAGCUCUUUUACCCGGGAUGAUAAUGACAGUACCGGGAGAAUAAGCUCCAGCUAACUUCGUGCCAGCCGCCGCAGUAAAAC
rnacentral:rRNA from 1 species